rnacentral:rRNA from 1 species
UACAGAGGUGGCAAGCGUUGUUCGGAAUUACUGGGCGUAAAGGGCGCGUAGGCGGUUCGUUAAGUCCUGUGUGAAAUCCCCCGGCUCAACUGGGGAACUGCACAGGAACUAGCGGGCUUGAGUUCGGGAGAGGGAAGCGGAAUUCCGGGUGUAGCGGUGAAAUGCGUAGAUAUCCGGAGGAACACCGGUGGCGAAGGCGGCUUCCUGGACCGACACUGACGCUGAGGCGCGAAAGCUAGGGGAGCAAACGGG